rnacentral:rRNA from 1 species
AUCGAUGAAGAACGCAGCGAAUCGCGAUAAGUAAUGUGAAUUGCAGAUUUUCAGUGAAUCAUCGAAUCUUUGAACGCACCUUGCGCCCCUUGGUAUUCCGAGGGGCAUGCCUGUUUGAGUGUCAUUUUAUCAUCAACUCAUUAGUCUUUGAUUAGGCUUUUGGGCUUGGACUUGGGAAUUGCUGGCUUGAUCUUUUUACCCAUUGAACAGUAUCUAAUACUUAAUAGAGGGAAAAAAGUGUAGUCGGCUGUCCUUAAAUGCAUUAGCGAGUGUUAGUCUACAUGGCACGGCCUCUUGACGUGAUAAUGAUCGUCGUGGGCUGGAAGUGUAGUGUCUGGCUUCUAAAACCCGAUUGCGUGCAUACGGCCCAUAAAGCUGGAAGCGUAGUCAAAAUGACAAGUUUGACCUCAAAUCAGGUAGGACUACCCGCUGAACUUAAGCAUAUCAAUAAGCGGAGGAAAAGAAACUAACAAGGAUUCCCCUAGUAACUGCGAGUGAAGAGGGAAAAGCUCAAAUUUUGAAUCUGGCGGUCAUCUAGGCCGUCCGAAUUGUAAUCUAGAGAAGUGUCUUCCGCGCUGGCCCGUGUACAAGUCUCCUGGAAGGGAGCAUCAUAGAGGGUGAGAAUCCCGUCUUUGACACGGACUACCAGGGCUAUGUGAUGCACUCUCAACGAGUCGAGUUGUUUGGGAAUGCAGCUCAAAAUGGGUGGUAAAUUCCAUCUAAAGCUAAAUACAGGCGAGAAACCGAUAGUGAACAAGUACCGUGAGGGAAAGAUCAAAAGAACUUUGAAAAGAGAGUUAAACAGUACGUGAAAUUGCUGAAAGGGAAACGCUUGAUGUCAGUCGCGUUGAUUAGGGAUCAACCUUUAAUUAGGUGUACUUCCUAGUCGACGGGUCAGCAUCAGUUUCGGUCAUCGUACAAAGGCAAGGGAAAGUAACUAAUAAUUAUGGACCCUCGUCGGAUGCGGUGGUCGGGACUGAGGAAACCUCUGCACCUUUUCGUUAGUGUGUUCAGAGAUGCUGGCAUAAUGGCCUUAAGCGACCCGUCUUGAAACACGG